ACACUCAGGGAGUGCACCAUGUGAAGACUGGACUUAAACAGCUACACCACCAGAAGCCGAGAGAGAGGCUGGAACAUAGCCUUCCCUUUGGAGCCCUAGCAGAUGCUAAUCCAGCGUGCGUCCUGGCAGAGGUUGAAGGGGGCUCCUCAAGUCCCAGGUCCAGCUUGGUGUGGUUCAGCUACUCGAGAGACAUCUGCUGCUAAUGGAUGAGCAGUCAACCUGGACGCAGGAAAUCAUUUUUUAUUUGGACUCACGCCCAAAGUUACGGAGGACCCAGCAACCAUCUCCUGCAGCCCCUGAAAACCUCUUGACUCUUCUGUGAUGUCCCCAGUGAUCCAGCAGCCCCGGCCUUCUUUUGAUGGCUUGAACAUUUGGUCUUCAUUGAACAGUUUGUAUAUUGGAAACUUGCCAGCCUCCAUCCACAUUCCAACCUCCGUCUGCAUCCCUCGGUACAAAAUGGUUCAAUCUGUCUACCUCCUUUCACAUUCCACCAAGAUAUUCCAAGGUCCAGGGUUCCUUUGACCACCUCACACCUAACAAGUUCCCUCACUGUCUCUCACUCUCCCCUGAAGAUUCUAAGCUGCCUCUGUCCUGCUAAAACUGUAGACCUGAGAAUGAAGUAAGGUGCUUCAGGUGAGGUUUGAUCAGCCCAGAGCAGAAAGGGGCCACCUCCUCCCACCCUAUAAGACCCUAUUAGUGCACCUUGGAGCCCUUUGCU
rnacentral:lncRNA from 10 species